AUCGCUUCUCAGCCUUUUGGCUAAGAUCAAGUGUAGUAUCUGUUCUUAUCAGUUGCACACCCCACUGUCUUCAAAAUAGAAAGACGUUUUUUUUAAUCUUGCCAGAAGCAACUUGAGAAACUGCAAAUCACUUUUGGUGUGAGACAGGCAUGUAGCCGGGGGGGGGGGGGGCUUGGGGGGCUUCAGCCCCCCCAAAUUCU